rnacentral:rRNA from 1 species
GACGAACGCUGGCGGCGUGCUUAACACAUGCAAGUCGAGCGGUAAGGCCCCUUCGGGGGUACACGAGCGGCGAACGGGUGAGUAACACGUGGGUGACCUGCCCUCAGCUCUGGGAUGAGCCUGGGAAACUGGGUCUAAUACCGGAUAUGACUCCAUGACGCAUGUCGUGGGGUGGAAAGCCUUGUGCGGCUGGGGAUGGGCCCGCGGCCUAUCAGCUUGUUGGUGGGGUGANGGCCUACCAAGGCGACGACGGGUAGCCGGCCUGAGAGGGCGACCGGCCACACUGGGACUGAGACACGGCCCAGACUCCUACGGGAGGCAGCAGUGGGGAAUCUUGCGCAAUGGGCGAAAGCCUGACGCAGCGACGCCGCGUGAGGGAUGACGGCCU